rnacentral:rRNA from 1 species
CUCAUGUCGUGAGAUGUUGGGUUAAGUCCCGUAACGAGCGCAACCCUUGUCCUUAGUUACCAGCACGUUAUGGUGGGCACUCUAAGGAGACUGCCGGUGACAAACCGGGGGAAGGUGGGGAUGACGUCAAGUCGUCAUGGCCCUUACGGCCUGGGCUACACACGUGCUACAAUGGUCGGUACAAAGGGUUGCCAAGCCGCGAGGUGGAGCUAAUCCCAUAAAACCGAUCGUAGUCCGGAUCGCAGUCUGCAACUCGACUGCGUGAAGUCGGAAUCGCUAGUAAUCGUGAAUCAGAAUGUCACGGUGAAUACGUUCCCGGGCCUU